rnacentral:rRNA from 1 species
CGAAAGCCUGACGGAGCAACGCCGCGUGUGGGAAGAAGGCUCUUGGGCUGUCAACCACUUUUCUCAGGGAAGAAGUCCUGACGGUACCAGAGGAAUCAGCCUCGGCUAACUCCGUGCCAGCAGCCGCGGUAAUACGGAGGAGGCAAGCGUUAUCCGGAAUUAUUGGGCGUAAAGCGUCCGUAGGUGGUUCAUCAAGUCAGCUGUUAAAGAGCGGAGCUCAACUCCGUCGGAGCGGUUGAAACUGGUGAACUAGAGUUUGGUAGGGGUCGAGGGAAUUCCCAGUGUAGCGGUGGAAUGCGUAGAUAUUGGGAAGAACACCGGUGGCGAAAGCGCUCGGCUGGGCCAAAACUGACACUGAGGGACGAAAGCUAGGGGAGCG